GAUGAACGCUGGCGGCGUGCCUAAUACAUGCAAGUCGAGCGAACAGACGAGGAGCUUGCUCCUCUGACGUUAGCGGCGGACGGGUGAGUAACACGUGGAUAACCUACCUAUAAGACUGGGAUAACUUCGGGAAACCGGAGCUAAUACCGGAUAAUAUAUUGAACCGCAUGGUUCAAUAGUGAAAGACGGUUUUGCUGUCACUUAUAGAUGGAUCCGCGCCGCAUUAGCUAGUUGGUAAGGUAACGGCUUACCAAGGCAACGAUGCGUAGCCGACCUGAGAGGGUGACGGGCCACCCUGAACCGGGACACGGUCCCGACCCCCAAGGGGAGGCAGCGGUGGGAAAUCUUCGGAAAGGGCCGAAGGCCUGACGGGGCAACGCCGCGGGGGUAUUAAGGUCUUCGGAUCGUAAAACUCUGUUAUUAGGGAAGAACAAAUGUGUAAGUAACUAUGCACGUCUUGACGGUACCUAAUCAGAAAGCCACGGCUAACUACGUG
rnacentral:rRNA from 1 species